rnacentral:rRNA from 1 species
AGUGAACGCUGGCGGUAGGCCUAACACAUGCAAGUCGAACGGCAGCACAGUAAGAGCUUGCUCUUACGGGUGGCGAGUGGCGGACGGGUGAGGAAUACAUCGGAAUCUACUUUUUCGUGGGGGAUAACGUAGGGAAACUUACGCUAAUACCGCAUACGACCUACGGGUGAAAGCAGGGGAUCUUCGGACCUUGCGCGAUUGAAUGAGCCGAUGUCGGAUUAGCUAGUUGGCGGGGUAAAGGCCCACCAAGGCGACGAUCCGUAGCUGGUCUGAGAGGAUGAUCAGCCACACUGGAACUGAGACACGGUCCAGACUCCUACGGGAGGCAGCAGUGGGGAAUAGUGGACAAUGGGGGCAAGCCUGAUCCAGCCAUACCGCGUGGGUGAAGAAGGCCUUCGGGUUGUAAAGCCCUUUUGUUGGGAAAGAAAAGCAGCAGGUUAAUACCACGCUGUUCUGACGGUACCCAAAGAAUAAGCACCGGCUAACUUCGUG